AUGAACUUCCAAGAGGUCCAGCUGGUGGAGUCUGGGGGAGGCUUGGCGUAGCCUGGGGGGUCUCUGAGACUCUCCUGUGCAGCCUCUGGAGUCACUUUCAGCAGCUACUGGAUGAGCUGGGUGUGCCAGGCUCCAGGGAAGGGUCUGGAGUGGGUCUCAUCCAUUAAUACUGGUACUGGUAGCACUAACCAUGCAGACUCAGUGAAGGACUGAUUUGUGAUCUCCAGAGACAAUGCCAGGAACAUGCUAUAUCUGCAAAUGGACAGCCUGAGAGCCGUGGACAGGAACCAUGCAUUACUGUGUAAGAGACACAAUAAAGGGAAAUCAGUGUGA